AAAUGAAUUGACGGGGGCCCGCACAAGCGGUGGAUCAUGUGGUUUAAUUCGAAGCAACGCGAAGAACCUUACCUGGGUUUGACAUCUCCGGACAAACGUAGAGAUACGUCUUCAGUAGCAAUACUGCCGGAUGACAGGUGCUGCAUGGCUGUCGUCAGCUCGUGUGGUGACAUGUUGGGUUAAGUCCCGCAACGAGCGCAACCCCUGUCCUUAGUUGCCAGCAUUCAGUUGGGCUCUCUAAGGAGACUGCCGUGGUGAACACGGAGGAAGGUGGGGAUGACGUCAAGUCCUCAUGGCCUUUAUAUCCAGGGCGACACACGUGAUACAAUGGACGGUACAGAGGGAAGCGAAACCGCUAGGUGGAGCCAAUCUCAAAAAGCCGUUCUCAGUUCGGAUUGGAGUCUGCAACUCGACUCCAUGAAGUUGGAAUCGCUAGUAAUCGCGGAUCAGCACGCCGCGGUGAAUACGUUCCCGGGCCUUGUACACACCGCCCGU
rnacentral:rRNA from 1 species